UGUCAGUAUGUCUGUAUAUAUGCAUGUAUGUCAGUCUGAAUGUAUGUAUGUCUGUAUGCCAUUAUGAAUGUAUGUGUGUAUGGAUGACAGUGUCUGUAUGUCUGUCAGUAUGUCUGUGUGUGUGUAUGUAUGUCGGUGUCUGUAUGUAUGUGUCUUUAUGUCCUCAUGCAUGUAUGUCUGUCUGUCUGUAUGCAUGUAUGUAUGUCUG